ensembl:lncRNA
GCUCCGAGCCGGCUGCCAACGGCCGCUCCCGCGCGCUGCGCCUCAGCCAAUGGGAGCCGGCGGCGCUGCCGCUGACCGGUUGAGAGGCCGGGGGCGGGACUGGGCUGCGCGUCAGCCAAUGAGAGGCCGGGGAGGGGAAGGAGCUGCACCUGACCAAUGAGAGGCUGAAGGCAGGAUGGAACUGCAGGCUCAGCCAAUGAGAGUCCGGGGCCGGGACGGAGCUGCGUCUGACCACUGAGAGGAUGGGGGCGGGACGAAGCUGCACGUCAGCCAAUGAGAGGCCGGCGGCGGGAUAGAGCUGCACCUCAGCCAAUGAGAGGCCGGGGGUGGGACGGAGCUGCAUCUCAGCCAAUGAGAGGCCGGCGGCGGGAUAGAGCUGCACCUGACCAAUGAGAGGCUGGGGGCGGGACAGAGCGGCACCUGACCAAUGAGAGGCCGGGGGCGGGAUAGAGCUGCGGGGGGGGCCCGGAGUGCGCCCUAUUGCAAUAGGGGUUGGGAUUGGGAUUAGGGGUGUGGGAUUGGGAUUGGGGGUGUGGGAUUGGGGUUAGGACUGGGAUAUGAGAUUUGGGAUUGCGAUGGAUUGACGGAUGGUACAUGGGGCUGGGAUGUGGGAUUGGCAUUGGGAUUCGGGAUAGGGAUUGGGAUGCGGGAUACGGGAUUGGCAUGUGGGAUUGGGAAUGAGGUGUGGGAUUGGGAUUGGGGUUGGGAUGCAGGAAGUGGGUAUACGGGUACGGGACAGACUUGGCAAAGGUAUGGGAACGAUAUGGGGUGGAGUUGGGACGGGAUAUGGAUAUGGGAUGGGAUUGGGAUGAUCAUAGGAUGGGAUAGGUAUAUGGAAUGGAUAUGGGGUGGACACGGGAUGGAUGUGGGGAUAUGGAUUCAGGAAGGCUGUGGGAUGGAAAUGGAUAUGGGACAUGGGGUACAGGAUGGGGAUAGGAUAUGGGAUGUGGGGGUAUGGAUGUGGGAUGGCUUUAGGAUGGGGUAUGGGAUUGGAUAAGGGAUGGGACAUUGAUAUGGGAUGGAUAAGGAGAUGGGAUCGGUUUGGGAUGAGAUAUGGAUUUGAGAUGGAUUUGGGAUGGUUAUGGGAUGGAUAAGGUGAUAUGGAUAUAGAAAGAGAUUUGGCAUGGAGUUGGGAUGGGAUAUGGAUAGGGGAUGAGAUAUGGGAUGGGAUACGGAUAUGGGAUGGGCUAUGGAUAUGGGAUGGAUUUGGGAUAUGGAUACGGGAUGGAUUUGGGAUUUGGAUACGGGAUGGAUUUGGGAUAUGGAUACGGGAUGGAUUUGGGGUAUGGGUUUGGGAUGGAUAUGAUGGUUUGGAUAUUGGAAGGGUUAUGGAUACAGGAUGGGAUAUGGGAUGGGAUAUGGAUAUGGGAUGGCUAUGAGAUGGGGCUGUAGUGGUUAUAGGGCCAUGGGGGCUAUGGGGCUGGGAUGCUGCAGUGUCCCCAAAGCACUCCCCGGUGUGACACACGGAGCCCCACAGCCGCUCCUCUUCCUGCUAUUCACGUAGGGGGGGCAUCCCCCAACCCCCCGUUAUCACGAAAUAAACCUUAAUCCCAAAAAUAAAGGGUGCCCCCCGCUCCCACCCCAUGGGAACAGUGCAGUCUGCAAUGGGGGGCGCACAGAAUGGGUCCCCAGAGGGGGGUCCCCAACUUUGGGAUGUGACGCCAUGGUGGGGACUGUGGGGGCACUCCCACCUCUGGGACAGACCCCAACUUUGGGGUGUAACAUGUGGGGGUGUCCCCAACUUUGGGGUGUGACACUGUGGUGUGUCCCCAACUUUGGGGUCUGACACCAUCGGGGGGACACAGAGAUGCCCCAACUUUGAGGUGUGACACAGUGACGCGGUGUCCCCACUUCCCCUGGGAAGUCCUCAAGCUGCUCACAGUGUCCCCAACUUUGACGCAAUGCCCCCAGGGGGGUCCUUUUGUCCCCUCAUAGGACAGUGGGAGGCUCAGUGGCAGCACCCCCUGGACACCCCAAGACACUUCUGGGACAUCUUCAGACCCUUCCAGAAGACAACAGGACCCUCUGAACCCACCAAAGGACCCCCCAGACCCUCCAAGUCCUCUCUGGGCCAUCCCCAGACCCUUCUGGAUGGCUCCAGGACCCCCCAGACCCACACGAGCACCCCCUGGACACCCCAAGACACUCCUGGGACAUCUUCAGACCCUUCCAGAAGACAGCAGAACCCACCUAAGGACCCCCCGGACCCUCCAAGUCCUCUCUGGGACAUCUCCAGACCCUUCUGGAUGGCUCCAGGACCCCCCAGACCCACAUGAACACUCCCUGGACACUCCAAGACAGUCCUGGGACAUCCCCAGACCCUUCUGGAUGACUGCAAGGAUGCCCUGGACACACCUGGGGACCCCCUGCACCCUACAGGGACCUUCUUGGACAUCUCCAGACCCUUCUGGAUGAAUCCAUGGACCCCAUGGAUCAACAGGAGGACCCCCUGUACCCUCCAAGGCCUCUCUGGGACACCCCCAAACUUUCUGGAUGGCUCCACAGACCCACAUGAGCACCCUUUGGACACCCAGGACACUUCUGGGACAUCUUCAGACCCUUCCAGAAGACAACAGGACCCUCUGAACCCACCAAAGGACCCCCCAGACCCUCCAAGUCCUCUCUGGGCCAUCCCCAGACCCUUCUGGAUGACCACUCAGACCCACACGAGGGCUCCCUGGACCCUCGCAGACUCUACUGGGACAUCUCCAGAUCAGCCCAGAGACUCCUCAGAGCUCCUGGGCCCAUCGUGGGAGCUGCCAGACCCUUCCAGGGGCCCACAGGACCAACCUGGGGACUCCCUGGAUCCUCCUUGGACAUCUCCAGACUCUUCUGGAUGAGUCCAGAACCCCCUGGAUGCCCCCAGACCUCUCUAGGACGUCUCCAGAUCCUUCUUCAUGAUUCUAAGUGGGGAAAAGGGGGGUUUUGGGGGGGGUGAGAAAGGGGUUAGUGGGGCUUCUGUGGGGUGGAAAGGGAGUCAGGGGGUGGAGAGGGGGUUGUGUGGAAUCUGGGGGGGGGGAAGGUGUGAGUGGGGCUUCUGUGGGGUGUAAAGGGCAUCAAGGGGCAGAAAGUGGAGGUUGGGGGGCCUUGGGGGGGAAGAGGAGAACGAGACUUCCGUGGGGAAAAAGGGGGUCUGGGGGUGGAGAGAGAGGUUGGAAGGGAAAACUGGGGGUCGUGGGGGGGCUUCUAUGGGACAUAAAGGGGGUCCCGUUGGGGGAUACUGGGGGUCAAAAUGGGGGAGCGGACUCCAGAGGUCAGGGAGGAGGGCAUGGGGGGAUACAGGGGACUCUAGGGGUCAGCAAAUGGGGUCAGCAGGGGGGAGGGAGAAGGAAGAGGGAAGACGGGGGACCCUGGGGGGCAGACAGAGGGGAGUCAGAGGGGGGAGACGGAUGGAGGGGCCAACGUGGGGAGAGCUGUGGGGGGGGCGGGAAAGGAGACAGAAGGGAUGAGAGCGGGGGAGCGAGGAGGGAUCGGGAGGGAGGGGGACAGACAGAGGACCCUGGGGGUCAGAAUGGGGACCGGGGGCGGGAGGAAGUGAGGGGAGGGGUGGGAGAGGACUCCCCGCCCCGGCGCCCCCCCCGGACACCCACUCGCAGAAGCUGAGGCGGCGCUCGGAGCCCCGGGGCCGCCCCGCCCCGCUGCCGCACGGCCGGCUCCUCGGGUCGCAUGGUGAUGACGUCACUCCGCGGGGACGCC